UACAGAGGUCUCAAGCGUUGUUCGGAUUCAUUGGGCGUAAAGGGUGCGUAGGUGGCAUGGUCAGUCGGAUGUGAAAUCCCGGGGCUCAACCCCGGAACUGCAUUCGAUACUGCCGCGCUAGAGUACUGGAGAGGAGAUUGGAAUUUACGGUGUAGCAGUGAAAUGCAUAGAUAUCGUCAAGAACACCGAUAGCGAAGGCAGCUUACUGGGCUGUAACUGACGCUGAGGCACGAAAGUGUGGGGAUCAAACAGG
rnacentral:rRNA from 1 species